UACGUAGGGGGCGAGCGUUGUCCGGAUUUAUUGGGCGUAAAAGGCUUGUAGGUGGCCACGCCAAGUCGGAUGUGAAAUCUCCCGGCUCAACUGGGAGGGGUCAUUCGAUACUGGCGGGCUCGAGGCCGGUAGGGGGAAGCGGAAUUCCCGGUGUAGUGGUGGAAUGCGUAGAUAUCGGGAGGAACAUCAGUGGCGAAGGCGGCUACCUGGCCCAAUACUGACACUCAGGUGCGACAGCGUGGGGAGCAAACAGG
rnacentral:rRNA from 1 species